CCCUUAGAGUUUGAUCCUGGCUCAGGACGAACGCUGGCGGCGUGCUUAACACAUGCAAGUCGAACGAGAAUCUACGGAUCGAGGAUUCGUCCAAGUGAAGUAGAGGACAGUGGCGGACGGGUGAGUAACGCGUGAGGAACCUGCCUUUCAGAGGGGGACAACAGUUGGAAACGACUGCUAAUACCGCAUGACACAUUGGGGUCGCAUGGCUCUGAUGUCAAAGAUUUAUCGCUGAAAGAUGGCCUCGCGUCUGAUUAGCUAGUUGGUGAGGUAACGGCCCACCAAGGCGACGAUCAGUAGCCGGACUGAGAGGUUGACCGGCCACAUUGGGACUGAGAUACGGCCCAGACUCCUACGGGAGGCAGCAGUGGGGAAUAUUGGGCAAUGGGCGCAAGCCUGACCCAGCAACGCCGCGUGAAGGAAGAAGGCUUUCGGGUUGUAAAC
rnacentral:rRNA from 1 species